rnacentral:rRNA from 1 species
AUGCAGAAGUUCGCCAGAAGGAAGAAGAGCUGGGCGUCGAGGAGGAGAAGAAGGUGGUAUGCGAGGUGCUUGCAGGCCCAGCAGCAGGAGGCCAUCCUUGAGGUGCUCCUCUGGAUGGUCCCUUCCGGCGCUGGGCCUACAUGUUCAAUGCUGCCCUCACCAUCCCCUUCUUCCAUUGGCUCAUCGGCCCAUAUAUAUUUAUAUAAGGUUUAUCAUCACCCCAUGGAUCAUGUGUUGUUGAUUGACCAGGUUAUUGAGGUGGAGGUCAACGGGGUGAGGCAGAGAAGUGGAGUGCUCAUAAAGAAACGAAGCUGCUACCUGGACUCGCCACUGCCGCCACCUCUAGUCGCUUCAGCCUAG